UUGAACGCUGGCGGCAGGCCUAACACAUGCAAGUCGAGCGGAUGAAGGGAGCUUGCUCCUGGAUUCAGCGGCGGACGGGUGAGUAAUGCCCAGGAAUCUGCCUGGUAGUGGGGGAUAACGUCCGGAAACGGGCGCUAAUACCGCAUACGUCCUGAGGGAGAAAGUGGGGGAUCUUCGGACCUCACGCUAUCAGAUGAGCCUAGGUCGGAUUAGCUAGUUGGUGGGGUAAAGGCCUACCAAGGCGACGAUCCGUAACUGGUCUGAGAGGAUGAUCAGUCACACUGGAACUGAGACACGGUCCAGACUCCUACGGGAGGCAGCAGUGGGGAAUAUUGGACAAUGGGCGAAAGCCUGAUCCAGCCAUGCCGCGUGUGUGAAGAAGGUCUUCGGAUUGUAAAGCACUUUAAGUUGGGAGGAAGGGCAGUAAGUUAAUACCUUGCUGUUUUGACGUUACCAACAGAAUAAGCACCGGCUAACUUCGUG
rnacentral:rRNA from 1 species